UUUGCAGAUAAUCCCAAAUUGGGUGGGAAUGUUGGUCUGCUAGAGGGUAGGAAGGCUCUGCAGAGAGAUUUGGACAGGCUGGAUCCAUGGAAUGAGGCCAGUGGUGUGAGGGACAACAAGGUC